rfam:Otolemur garnettii contig117368, whole genome shotgun sequence.
GUGCUCACUUCAGCAGCACAUAUACUAAAAUUGGAAUGAUAGAGAGAAGAUUAGCAUGGCCCCUGCACAAGGAUGACACGCAUAUUAAAGAAAAAAAACAACUAAGC